rnacentral:lncRNA from 1 species
CCACUGCUCGGUGAAGGACGCCCCAUGCCGCACCGUAGUGAAGUGACCUAGCCUCAAUCGAUCCUGCAUGCUCUUAUCUCUGCACGCCAUCUUCUCCUGUUUUGACUUUUCUAUAAGGAGCUUCUUGCUCAUCGUUACACAUCUAUUCAACCGCUCCUUGUACUUCUCCAGCAUCUUUUGUUGUUCAUCUAUCUGCCGUCUCAAAUCACAGUUGGCUCUUAGUAAG